AUUGAACGCUGGCGGCAUGCCUUACACAUGCAAGUCGAACGGUAACGGGUCUUCGGAUGCUGGCGAGUGGCGAACGGGUGAGUAAUACAUCGGAACGUGCCUAGUAGUGGGGGAUAACUACUCGAAAGAGUGGCUAAUACCGCAUGAGAUCUACGGAUGAAAGCAGGGGAUCGCAAGACCUUGUGCUACUAGAGCGGCCGAUGGCAGAUUAGGUAGUUGGUGGGAUAAAAGCUUACCAAGCCGACGAUCUGUAGCUGGUCUGAGAGGACGAUCAGCCACACUGGGACUGAGACACGGCCCAGACUCCUACGGGAGGCAGCAGUGGGGAAUUUUGGACAAUGGGCGAAAGCCUGAUCCAGCAAUGCCGCGUGCAGGAUGAAGGCCUUCGGGUUGUAAACUGCUUUUGUACGGAACGAAAAGCCCCGGGUUAAUACCCUGGGGUCAUGACGGUACCGUAAGAAUAAGCACCGGCUAACUACGUGCCAGCAGCCGCCGUAA
rnacentral:rRNA from 1 species